rnacentral:rRNA from 1 species
CCUACGGGCGGCAGCAGUGAGGAAUAUUGGUCAAUGAGCGAGAGCCUGAACCAGCCAAGCCGCGUGAGGGAGUACUGCCCUAUGGGUUGUAAACCUCUUUUGUCGGGGAGCAAAAGCCGGACGUGUCCGGCUGUGAGAGUACCCGAAGAAAAAGCAACGGCUAACUCCGUGACAGCAGCCGCGGUAAUACGGAGGAUGCGGGCGUUAUCCGGAUUUAUUGGGUUUAAAGGGUGCGCAGGCGGAUUGUUAAGUCAGCGGUAAAAUCGUGGGGCUCAACCCCAUCCAGCCGUUGAAACUGGGGAUCUAGAGUGUGCGAGAGGUAUGCGGAAUGCGUGGUGUAGCGGUGAAAUGCAUAGAUAUCACGCAGAACCCCGAUUGCGAAGGCAGCAUACCGGUGCACAACUGACGCUCAGGCACGAAAGCGUGGGUAUCGAACAGGAUUAGAUACCCCAGUAGUC